rnacentral:rRNA from 1 species
UACGUAGGCAGCGAGCGUUGUUCGGAAUUACUGGGCGUAAAGCGUGUGUAGGCGGUGCUCUAAGUUCGGUGUGAAAUCUCCUGGCUUAACUGGGAGGGUGCGCCGGAAACUGGGGUGCUCGAGCGUGGGAGAGGAAAGCGGAAUUCCUGGUGUAGCGGUGAAAUGCGUAGAUAUCAGGAGGAACACCUGUGGUGUAGACAGCUUUCUGGACCAUUGCUGACGCUGAGACACGAAAGCGUGGGUAGCAAACAGG